rnacentral:lncRNA from 1 species
AAUGUGUAUGAUCCUUGAAUUUCUUUUUCAGUUAUGCUAUCACAGCCAUUUUCCUUCAUUUCAAGGGGUAUGCCUUGAGCUUUCAUGCUCAUCUCCACCAUGUCCUCUCAUGACAUGUAAGAAUUUUAACUAUGAGGUUCAGAGGGAAGUUUUAAUAUUAAAUAGCUAAGAAAAAUUUUAAAGAUAGUUCCUGUCCACAUGCCUGCAUGGUCUUUGCAUGUCCUUCAUGGAACAUUCAAAGUAUGCAGACUCCUCUAUGGGUUUGGCUCUGGCUCACUCAUGAGAACAGUCAUUCACUCUUCUCAAGGCUAUAUAACUUCCUUCAGGGAUCUGGCCAGUCCUUGUGUGGUGAUGAAGGAUCCUUGAGGGGAUCACUAGGUCAAGCAGGUUUUUAGGAUGGAGUUUUCUUUGCUCCAACUUGUAUUUAAAGAGCCCCACUGGGAAUAAGAUCUCAGAGGUCUCACCUGUGGAGAAGAUGCUCUGUCUGGGACUUUCCAAUCAGGACCCUGAAAAGUUGCCCCAGGACUCCCCUGCUACAUGGUUUCAGGUGUUGGUGUCUUCUCAUUCUGGUAAUGUAGUUUCUUCUCUUUCUUUCUUGCCUAUCAGUUUUACUUUUUCUCUUUCUUCCAUAUUAUUACUAAAAGAAACAUUACCCCAUGUAAAGUGUCUUUGUUGCCUAUUAGAUUGUAUCUAGAAAUUCAGCAUCUGUACACAUGUGUAAUGCUUUAACCUUGCAAGUACAUGUAUGUGUUUUAAUUAGUAAUUACACCUUUCAACUGAAAUAAUUUUCACUGAUAUUAUGGUAUAAAUUGAGAAUAGUUUCUUGCCUUUGAAUACAUAGUGCAUUAUUAAUAGCUGUAGUCACCCUUCUAUGUAAUUUCCCCUCUCCACUAUCUGGGCUUGUGUAUGUCUAUGUGACCUUUUUUUUUUUUUUUUUCCC